rnacentral:rRNA from 1 species
AACGCUGGCGGCGUGCCUAACACAUGCAAGUCGAACGAGAUCCAUGGGAGCUUGCUCCCGGAAGAUCUAGUGGCGAACGGGUGAGUAACACGUGAGAAACCUGCCCUGGAGUGGGGAAUAACUCGGGGAAACUCGAGCUAAUACCGCAUACCCUCGGAUGGUCGCAUGGCCGACCGAGGAAAGAUUUAUCGCUCUAGGAGGGUCUCGCGGCCUAUCAGCUAGUUGGUGGGGUAACGGCCUACCAAGGCAACGACGGGUAGCUGGUUUGAGAGAACGAUCAGCCACACUGGGACUGAGACACGGCCCAGACUCCUACGGGAGGCAGCAGUGGGGAAUCUUGCGCAAUGGGCGAAAGCCUGACGCAGCAACGCCGCGUGCGGGAUGACGGCCUUCGUGGUUGUAAACCGCUUUCAGCAGGGACGAAAAUGACGGUACCUGCAGAAGAAGCCCCGGCUAACUACGUG